AGAUUAAGUUAUUAAGGGCGCACGGUGGAUGCCUUGGCACUAGAAGCCGAUGAAGGACGUUACUAACGACGAUAUGCUUUGGGGAGCUGUAAGUAAGCUUUGAUCCAGAGAUUUCCGAAUGGGGAAACCCAGCAUGAGUUAUGUCAUGUUAUCGAUAUGUGAAUACAUAGCAUAUUAGAAGGCACACCCGGAGAACUGAAACAUCUUAGUACCCGGAGGAAGAGAAAGAAAAUUCGAUUCCCUUAGUAGCGGCGAGCGAAACGGGAAGAGCCCAAACCAACAAGCUUGCUUGUUGGGGUUGUAGGACACUCUAUACGGAGUUACAAAGGACGACAUUAGACGAAUCAUCUGGAAAGAUGAAUCAAAGAAGGUAAUAAUCCUGUAGUCGAAAAUGUUGUCUCUCUUGAGUGGAUCCUGAGUACGACGGAGCACGUGAAAUUCCGUCGGAAUCUGGGAGGACCAUCUCCUAAGGCUAAAUACUCUCUAGUGACCGAUAGUGAACCAGUACCGUGAGGGAAAGGUGAAAAGCACCCCGGAAGGGGAGUGAAAUAGAACCUGAAACCGUGUGCUUACAAGUAGUCAGAGCCCGUUAAUGGGUGAUGGCGUGCCUUUUGUAGAAUGAACCGGCGAGUUACGAUUUGAUGCAAGGUUAAGCAGUAAAUGUGGAGCCGUAGCGAAAGCGAGUCUGAAUAGGGCGUUUAGUAUUUGGUCGUAGACCCGAAACCAGGUGAUCUACCCUUGGUCAGGUUGAAGUUCAGGUAACACUGAAUGGAGGACCGAACCGACUUACGUUGAAAAGUGAGCGGAUGAACUGAGGGUAGCGGAGAAAUUCCAAUCGAACCUGGAGAUAGCUGGUUCUCUCCGAAAUAGCUUUAGGGCUAGCCUCAAGUGAUGAUUAUUGGAGGUAGAGCACUGUUUGGACGAGGGGCCCCUCUCGGGUUACCGAAUUCAGACAAACUCCGAAUGCCAAUUAAUUUAACUUGGGAGUCAGAACAUGGGUGAUAAGGUCCGUGUUCGAAAGGGAAACAGCCCAGACCACCAGCUAAGGUCCCAAAAUAUAUGUUAAGUGGAAAAGGAUGUGGCGUUGCCCAGACAACUAGGAUGUUGGCUUAGAAGCAGCCAUCAUUUAAAGAGUGCGUAAUAGCUCACUAGUCGAGUGACACUGCGCCGAAAAUGUACCGGGGCUAAACAUAUUACCGAAGCUGUGGAUUGUCCUUUGGACAAUGGUAGGAGAGCGUUCUAAGGGCGUUGAAGCAUGAUCGUAAGGACAUGUGGAGCGCUUAGAAGUGAGAAUGCCGGUGUGAGUAGCGAAAGACGGGUGAGAAUCCCGUCCACCGAUUGACUAAGGUUUCCAGAGGAAGGCUCGUCCGCUCUGGGUUAGUCGGGUCCUAAGCUGAGGCCGACAGGCGUAGGCGAUGGAUAACAGGUUGAUAUUCCUGUACCACCUAUAAUCGUUUUAAUCGAUGGGGGGACGCAGUAGGAUAGGCGAAGCGUGCGAUUGGAUCGCACGUCUAAGCAGUAAGGCUGAGUAUUAGGCAAAUCCGGUACUCGUUAAGGCUGAGCUGUGAUGGGGAGAAGACAUUGUGUCUUCGAGUCGUUGAUUUCACACUGCCGAGAAAAGCCUCUAGAUAGAAAAUAGGUGCCCGUACCGCAAACCGACACAGGUAGUCAAGAUGAGAAUUCUAAGGUGAGCGAGCGAACUCUCGUUAAGGAACUCGGCAAAAUGACCCCGUAACUUCGGGAGAAGGGGUGCUCUUUAGGGUUAACGCCCAGAAGAGCCGCAGUGAAUAGGCCCAAGCGACUGUUUAUCAAAAACACAGGUCUCUGCUAAACCGUAAGGUGAUGUAUAGGGGCUGACGCCUGCCCGGUGCUGGAAGGUUAAGAGGAGUGGUUAGCUUCUGCGAAGCUACGAAUCGAAGCCCCAGUAAACGGCGGCCGUAACUAUAACGGUCCUAAGGUAGCGAAAUUCCUUGUCGGGUAAGUUCCGACCCGCACGAAAGGCGUAACGAUUUGGGCACUGUCUCAACGAGAGACUCGGUGAAAUCAUAGUACCUGUGAAGAUGCAGGUUACCCGCGACAGGACGGAAAGACCCCGUGGAGCUUUACUGUAGCCUGAUAUUGAAAUUCGGCACAGCUUGUACAGGAUAGGUAGGAGCCUUUGAAACGUGAGCGCUAGCUUACGUGGAGGCGCUGGUGGGAUACUACCCUAGCUGUGUUGGCUUUCUAACCCGCACCACUUAUCGUGGUGGGAGACAGUGUCAGGCGGGCAGUUUGACUGGGGCGGUCGCCUCCUAAAAGGUAACGGAGGCGCUCAAAGGUUCCCUCAGAAUGGUUGGAAAUCAUUCAUAGAGUGUAAAGGCAUAAGGGAGCUUGACUGCGAGACCUACAAGUCGAGCAGGGUCGAAAGACGGACUUAGUGAUCCGGUGGUUCCGCAUGGAAGGGCCAUCGCUCAACGGAUAAAAGCUACCCCGGGGAUAACAGGCUUAUCUCCCCCAAGAGUUCACAUCGACGGGGAGGUUUGGCACCUCGAUGUCGGCUCAUCGCAUCCUGGGGCUGUAGUCGGUCCCAAGGGUUGGGCUGUUCGCCCAUUAAAGCGGUACGCGAGCUGGGUUCAGAACGUCGUGAGACAGUUCGGUCCCUAUCCGUCGUGGGCGUAGGAAAUUUGAGAGGAGCUGUCCUUAGUACGAGAGGACCGGGAUGGACAUACCUCUGGUGUACCAGUUGUCGUGCCAACGGCAUAGCUGGGUAGCUAUGUGUGGACGGGAUAAGUGCUGAAAGCAUCUAAGCAUGAAGCCCCCCUCAAGAUGAGAUUUCCCAACUUCGGUUAUAAGAUCCCUCAAAGAUGAUGAGGUUAAUAGGUUCGAGGUGGAAGCAUGGUGACAUGUGGAGCUGACGAAUACUAAUCGAUCGAAGACUUAAUCAAA
rnacentral:rRNA from 1 species